rnacentral:rRNA from 1 species
GAUGAACGCUGGCGGCGUGCCUAAUACAUGCAAGUCGAGCGAACAGAUGAGGAGCUUGCUCCUCUGACGUUAGCGUCGGACGGGUGAGUAACACGUGGAUAACCUACCUAUAAGACUGGGAUAACUUCGGGAAACCGGAGCUAAUACCGGAUAAUAUAUUGAACCGCAUGGUUCAAUAGUGAAAGACGGUUUUGCUGUCACUUAUAGAUGGAUCCGCGCCGCAUUAGCUAGUUGGUAAGGUAACGGCUUACCAAGGCAACGAUGCGUAGCCGACCUGAGAGGGUGAUCGGCCACACUGGAACUGAGACACGGUCCAGACUCCUACGGGAGGCAGCAGUAGGGAAUCUUCCGCAAUGGGCGAAAGCCUGACGGAGCAACGCCGCGUGAGUGAUGAAGGUCUUCGGAUCGUAAAACUCUGUUAUUGGGGAAGAACAAAUGUGUAAGUAACUAUGCACGUCUUGACGGUACCUAAUCAGAAAGCCACGGCUAACUACGUG